rnacentral:tRNA from 1 species
GUGGAUGUGACUCAGUGGUAGAGCUCUUGCUUUAUAUGCACAAGGACCUGGGUUCAAUUCCCAGCACCAUA